GACAGAGGGUGCAAACGUUGUUCGGAAUACUGGGCGUAAAGCGAGUGUAGGCGGUUUGAUAAGUCGGAUGUGAAAGCCCCGGGCUCAACCGGGAAGUGCACUCGAUACUGUCAAGCUAGAGUAUCGGAGAGGUUGGUGGAAUUCUCGGGUGUAGAGGUGAAAUUCGUAGAUAUCGAGAGGAACACCGGUGGCGAAGGCGGCCAACUGGACGAAUACUGACGCUGGAGACUCGAAAGCGUGGGGAGCAAACAGGAAUUAGAAACCCCCUGGUAG
rnacentral:rRNA from 1 species